ACACGCAUGACACACUGCAUAUCAAUAAGCGGAGGAAAAGAAACUAACAAGGAUUCCCCUAGUAACGGCGAGUGAAGCGGGAAGAGCUCAAAUUUGAAAUCUUAAAGGGUUUCCCUUUACGAAUUGUAGUUUAAAGAAGUGUUUUCUGUUGGAGUUUCGGUAAAAGUUCUUUGGAAUAGGACAUCAUAGAGGGUGAGAAUCCCGUAUUUGACCGUUAUUUUCAGCUGUGUGAUACACUUUCAAAGAGUCGGAUUGUCUGGGAAUGCAGUCCAAAAUGGGUGGUAAAUUUCAUCUAAAGCUAAAUAUUGGCGAGAGACCGAUAGCGAACAAGUACCGUGAGGGAAAGAUGAAAAGAACUUUGAAAAGAGAGUUAAACAGUACGUGAAAUUGUCAAAAGGGAAGCGUUUGACACCAGUGUUGUUUAGUUGAAAAUCAAUUCAAUAGUUUUUGAUUCUAAGUAGUAUUGACUUCAUCAGCUUGCUGCUUUCUUCUCAGAAAUUAUUGAAUGCACUUUUCAGUUAACAAGUCAACAUCAAUUUCUUUUGUUGUAAAAGGGUAAGAGGAAGGUGGCUUGCGCUUCGGCUCAAGUGUUUAUAGCCUCUUAUCUCUGCAAUCGGAGAGAUUGAGGUCUGCAGCGUAGAUCCUUCGGGGUUAGAUACAUUGGUGCUAAGCUAUAGCCUUGUAUAGACAACUUGUUGACUAUGCUCAGUCAUGUAGCUUACUCGCUGAUGCUAUUUUACCUACGCUUAGGAUGUUGAAGUCAUCGUAUCGCGC
rnacentral:rRNA from 1 species